rnacentral:rRNA from 1 species
UACGUAGGGUGCAAGCGUUGUCCGGAAUUAUUGGGCGUAAAGAGCUCGUAGGCGGUUUGUCGCGUCUGCUGUGAAAACUCGGGGCUUAACCCCGGGCCUGCAGUGGGUACGGGCAGACUAGAGUGCGGUAGGGGAGACUGGAAUUCCUGGUGUAGCGGUGAAAUGCGCAGAUAUCAGGAGGAACACCGAUGACGAAGGCAGGUCUCUGGGCAUUAACUGACGCUGAGGAGCGAAAGCAUGGGGAGCGAACAGG